rnacentral:rRNA from 1 species
CGUAGGGUGCGAGCGUUAAUCGGAAUUACUGGGCGUAAAGUGUGCGCAGGCGGCCGAGCAAGUCGAGUGUGAAAGCCCCGGGCUUAACUUGGGAAUUGCGCUCGAAACUACUUGGCUGGAGUGUGGCAGAGGAAGGUGGAAUUCCACGUGUGGCGGUGAAAUGCGUAGAGAUGUGGAGGAACACCGAUGGCGAAGGCAGCCUUCUGGGCCAACACUGACGCUCAUGCACGAAAGCGUGGGGAGCAAACAGGAUUAGAUACCCUGGUAGUCCACGCCCUAAACGAUGAUGACUAGUUGUUGGGGGAGUUAAAUCCCUUAGUAACGCAGCUAACGCGUGAAGUCAUCCGCCUGGGGAGUACGGUCGCAAGAUUA